AUUGAACGCUGGCGGCAGGCCUAACACAUGCAAGUCGAGCGGAUGAAGGGAGCUUGCUCCUGGAUUCAGCGGCGGACGGGUGAGUAAUGCCUAGGAAUCUGCCUGGUAGUGGGGGAUAACGUCCGGAAACGGGCGCUAAUACCGCAUACGUCCUGAGGGAGAAAGUGGGGGAUCUUCGGACCUCACGCUAUCAGAUGAGCCUAGGUCGGAUUAGCUAGUUGGUGGGGUAAAGGCCUACCAAGGCGACGAUCCGUAACUGGUCUGAGAGGAUGAUCAGUCAAACUGGAACGGAGAGACGGUCCAGAGUCCUACGGGAGGGAGCAGUGGGGAAUAUUGGACAAGGGGCGAAAGCCUGAUCCAGACAUGCCGCGUGUGUGAAGAAGGUCUUCGGAUUGUAAAGCACUUUAAGUUGGGAGGAAGGGCAGUAAGUUAAUACCUUGCUGUUUUGACGUUACCAACAGAAUAAGCACCGGCUAACUUCGUG
rnacentral:rRNA from 1 species